rnacentral:misc_RNA from 1 species
CCUGUAUCAUAAUCUACAUCUAAGCGUAUUGUUAAGUUUACAUUCACUAAGAUACAAUUCAAAAGUAAGAACAGAAAAUAGCUAAAAAAAAAGUUAAUUUGCAAGGGAAUAUCAAGCUUUGCAAAUGAGCAGCAUUUAGCAACACAACACCAGUUUCUCAUGCGGCGUUCCAAUUCAUCAGGUUAUAACAAUAUUAGAAGAAACCAGCAACAGCAAGAACCUUUUGAAGGCAGAAAUAUGCCAAGAGAUUUCGCUAAAGAUGGGAAGAAGAGACGGAC